rnacentral:tRNA from 1 species
GCCGCCUUAGCUCAGGGGUAGAGCAGCUGUUUUGUAAACAGCAGGUCGUCGGUUCAAAUCCGACAGGCGGCUCCA